GGUGUUUAGGACUGAGCCGGUACGUGUUGAUUUGUCUCACUCCAGCAUGGCUCCGAAAGGGAAGAGGCGAGCGGAGAAAGCGGAAAGAUUCGAAGAAAAUGACGAGGACGCGGGUGAAAACGCCGACGACGAAGCCGGGAAUGGAGGAGAUGAGAAUGGGGAAGAUGAACUUACCCUGGAUGAUGUGCUGCGUUUGGGAGGCACUAAGGCGGACUACGUGAUGCUUACUGCAGUUGAUGACAGCAAAGAGCUGGUAAAUGGUGGAAAGAAAGGUGCAAUCGAUGAUUUGGAGGACGGCGAGCUGGAAGACUUCGUUAAGAAACUGGGGAUCAGGUCCUACGCAGACCAGCAGGUUGUUGAAGGUGAUGAUGAUGAUGAGAAUGAGCCUGAAGAUAAAGAGAAACACUCCAAGCCCAGUGUGGAAAAGAAGAGCAAAAAAAAAGAAGCCCCUAAAGUAGAGUCCAGCGAGACGCCUAAAGCCAAGCGAGAAGCCGAGGCGAAGAAGGCCGAGGGAAAAAAAUCAAGUAAAAAGGCCAAGCAAAAAGAAGCAGACCUUUUUGAGUUUUACCCGCGGCAGGUGCUUCUGGUCAAACCUGGAGGAAAAUGGUAUGAUGUAGACUACACAUCUGAGAUGAGCACGUCUAAUCAGGACGAAUCGCUGGUUUCUCAGUACAAGGCUUUGGCUCAGAAGUUGCUUGAGGCCGAAAUGAAUCUUUACAAAAGUAAGAAAAACCUGCAGAAAGGCGCGAACACGGUCUGGAUGAAGAGCGUCGUCUCCACUGGGACUCUGGCAGACAGGAUGGCGGCCAUGACUGUGCUCAUCCAGGACGCUCCUGUACACUGUCUGGAGCACAUCGAAAGCCUGGUUGUUAUGAUGAAGAAGAAAGGAAGUCGUAGGCAAGGUCUCAUGGCUUUGGACACGCUUAGAGAGUUGCUGUUGUCUGAUCUGCUCCCAGAGAAUCGGAAGCUUCAGACUUUCUCUCAGCGUCCGAUCGACCAGCUAGAGGAGCGUGCAAGUGGAAACCGAGAUGUUCGAGACCGGCGCCUAAUCCUUUGGUACUUUGAGCACCUUCUCAAGCUCCAACUGGCUGAGUUUGUAAUAGCUUUAGACGCUUUGGCUCACGAUUCUGUUCCAGCCACCAAAACAAAAGCUCUGACCACAGCUCACGAGCUGCUCUGCAAUCGGCCUGAGCAGGAAAAAGCCCUGCUGAUGCAUGUCGUCAACAAACUGGGAGAUCCGGACUACAAAAUCGCUUCGAAGGCAUCUUAUCUGUUGGAGACCCUCCUCCAUAAGCACCCCUUGAUGAAAUCGGUGGUGUGCACCGAAGUCGAGCGUCUGAUGUUCAGACCCAAUAUAAGCAGCAAGGCUCAGUAUUACGCCGCCUGCUUCCUCAAUCAGGUGAUGCUGAGCCACGACGAGGUCGAUCUCGCAAGCAAACUUAUCACUAUCUACUUCAGCUUCUUCCGUCUCUGCAUCAAGAAGAAGGAGGUGGAGUCUAAGAUGCUGGGCGCUCUGCUGAGCGGUGUGAACAGGGCAUAUCCAUACACCAAGGCCGGAGAUGAGACUGUCCGGGAGCAGCUGGACACACUGUUUAAAGUGGUGCAUCUUGUAAAGUUCAGUACAGCUAUACAAGCUCUCAUGCUGCUCUUCCAGGUUAUGGAUUCUCAGCAGAGUGUGUCGGAUCGCUACUACGUCGCCCUUUACAAGAAGCUGUUAGAUCCUGGACUGUCAGUAAGCUCGAGGCAGAGCAUGUUCCUUAACCUGCUGUACAAAUCUCUGAAAGCCGACAUCGUCCUGCGGCGUGUUAAAGCCUUCGUAAAGAGGCUGCUGCAGGUGAGCUGUGAGCAGAGCCCAACGUUCGCCUGCGGCGCGCUCUUCCUCAUCUCCGAGGUCAUGAAGGCUAAACCUGGUCUUAAGCUCAUCCUACAAGAAGGGGAUAAUGAGGAGGAGACGUUUCAGGACCUUAAAGGGGAAGAGGAUGACGACAAGAAUAAUACCAACAAUUUUGAUGAUGAUGAUGAUGAAGAAGAAAGGUUUGUUGAUGCGGAUAAAAUUGAAGAAGGCCAGGGUGAAAAGCCUCAGCAGAACAAACCAGCUGCAUCAUGGGUACAUCACCAAAACUUGGAGGGAAGCAAGGAUUUGAAGCUGUAUGACCCCAUUCACAGAAACCCUUUAUACUGUGGAGCGAAUCACAGCACACUCUGGGAGCUGCAGAAGCUUGCUGAUCAUUUUCACCCUUCUGUGGCUCUCUUCGCAAAAACCAUCUUACAUGGAGGGCACAUCCAGUACUCUGGAGAUCCUCUGCAGGACUUUACACUCAUCAGGUUCUUGGAUCGGUUUGUGUUCAGAAACCCCAAACAAACAAAAGGCAAACAAAACACACAUGCGACAGUAAUGCAGCCGAAGCACAAACAGAGCAUGAAUAACAUCCGGUCGUUACCUGUAAACUCAGAGGAGUAUCUGGCCAAAGAGGAGACUCAGAUCCCUGUGGAUGAGGUGUUCUUCUACAGGUUCUUUAAAAAGAGGGAAGGAGAGAAGCAAUUAAAGAAGCCUUGUGGAGAUGAUGAGAGUGUUGAGGAUGUGGAGGAUGAUGAGUUUGACCAACUGCUCAACACUUUUGAGAGUGACAACUACUUCACAGAGUUUAAAGAUGAUGAUCUGGACUUUGCCGGCAAUGUAAAGAACAGCAGCAAAAAGGGCAAGAAGGCCAGUGAUGUCUCUGAUUCAGACAUGGAUUCAAAUGAAGACCUGGAUGAUGAUGAGAUCUCUCUGGGAAGCAUGGCUGAGGAAGACUUCGGAGAUGAGCUAGAAGAAGAAGACGGCGGUGCUUUUAUGGAUCCGGACGGAGACGACGAUGAUGAAGUACCAGAGCUCGAGGGUGACGAUGACGAUGACUUCGAUAGGGACGUGGAUGAACCAGCAGGGGUCAGCAUGGGAAGCAAAACAGGCAAGAGAAGUCAUCAGAGCAUCUCGACUUUGCUGAAACAUUUUAUUCCAAACUAAGCAAGAAGAAAAAGAAAGGAAAGAUUGAUGACACGGCCAUGUUCGCAGCAGCUGAGGAGUUUGGAGAUUUGCUGGAUGAAAAUACAGACAUGAAGUUCGACAACGGCAUGAACGCGAUGGCUAACAAAGACAAAGCCAGUAUCAAACAGCUGAAAUGGGAGGUGCAGCGUGAUGACUGGAUUCAGGGACGUGACGUGAAGACGCUCAGGAGGAAGAAGGCCAUGUUCAAUAAGAGGAAACAUUUUGGGAAAGGAAGACCAGGCAAAAAGACUGGAGGCAGAAAGAAGUGAUGACGCUCGUUCUCUUGAGUAUCUGUCAGUAUGUCUGUCUAUUCCUGCCGAGUAGACCAUACGUCCUGAUCAGCUUCCCGGAUUCCGAAGUUCCCGGCCCAUUCGUUGGACUUGUAAUAAACUGAUGGAGAUAAAAGGCUGAUUAAUAAUGCUUCAGUUUGUAGUCAUUAAUUGCUACAUUGGGGCAAAACUUUCGUAAUACGUGAAGAAAUGCAUUUUGUAAUAAAUGUAAUUUUACUGUUUGUUUUUGUUUUUCUACACAAUUGUUUUUACACUUUUCAGACAGUCUCAUGGUGUAUUCCUGCAGAUUUUCUGAGAUUUGUAUCCACCAUUUUAACUCUGACCAUUGUGUGUUUUUGAAGAUGAACGAAUGAAAUAAUAGAAUCCAUCACAUGAAACAUUACAGCUGAUCUUUUACGAAA